rnacentral:lncRNA from 1 species
UAGCCUGGUGGGUCCACGAUGUAAACCAGAGUGGUGUGAUCGGUUCUGCUAUGUUUGCGUCUGCUGUGGAUGUGAUGUGACCCACAGAUUCGGGGCGUGCCAAGGCGCAGUGGUUCCAAGAGCAAAGAAAUCACUCCUUUGCCUGCCUGGGAAGAAUCUGGGAAACCCAAGGUCGCAACAUCUUGCCUAGCGGCUCUUCCCAGAGGCCAGAAUACUGAUGGUGAAAGUCAGAGGGAAUCAGGUUUCAGCUCCCUGAAUGAUCGAAGAUCACUCGGCCACGAGGAUCUUGAAAGUUGGCCCUGUCCACAGCUUGUAAUGAGAAGGAUAAUCUGUCUCGUAAUAAAAAACAGUACCCACACAAACAAAUCCAGCACCCAGCUGCCUUCCCCUUCGCACCACUUUCCUAAUAAGGGACAAUGACAAAUAUUGCCGUCCCGUUCCACCCCAAAACAGAGGAAGCGGUAGAUCUUUCUUUUAAUAACUUCCCAAAGUGUUACAAAU